AGAGUUUGAUCAUGGCUCAGAACGAACGCUGGCGGCGUGGAUAAGACAUGCAAGUCGAGCGGGAUUUCUUUUGGUAGCAAUACCGAGAGAAAUUCAGCGGCGAACGGGUGCGUAACACGUGGGCAAUCUGCCUUAAAGUGUGGGAUAGCUCGGCGAAAGCCGAAUUAAUACCGCAUGUGAUCAGCGAAGACAUCUUCGCGAAAUUAAAGGUGGCGCAAGCUACCGCUUUUUGAGGUGCCCGCGGCCCUAUCAGCUUGUUGGUGAGGUAACGGCUCACCAAGGCGUUGACGGGUAGCUGGUCUGAGAGGACGACCAGCCACACUGGGACUGAGACACGGCCCAGACACCUACGGGUGGCAGCAGUCGAGAAUUUUUGACAAUGGGGGAAACCCUGAUCGAGCGACGCCGCGUGGAGGAUGAAGGUCUUCGGGUUGUAAACUCCUGUCAUUUGGGAACAAGGCGUAUUUAUUAACUGUAAGUGCGUUGAUAGUACCAGAAGAGGAAGAGACGGCUAACUCUGUGCCAGCAGCCGCGGUAAUACAGAGGUCUCAAGCGUUGUUCGGAUUCAUUGGGCGUAAAGGGUGUGUAGGUGGCGCGCUAAGUCGGGUGUGAAAUUUCGGAGCUUAACUCCGAAACUGCAUUCGAUACUGGCGUGCUUGAGGACUGGAGAGGAGACUGGAAUUUACGGUGUAGCAGUGAAAUGCGUAGAUAUCGUAAGGAAGACCAGUGGCGAAGGCGGGUCUCUGGACAGUUCCUGACACUGAGACACGAAGGCCAGGGGAGCAAACGGGAUUAGAUACCCCAGUAGUCC
rnacentral:rRNA from 1 species